GACGAACGCUGGCGGCGUGCUUAACACAUGCAAGUCGAACGGAAAGGCCCUGCUUUUGUGGGGUGCUCGAGUGGCGAACGGGUGAGUAACACGUGAGUAACCUGCCCUUGACUUUGGGAUAACUUCAGGAAACUGGGGCUAAUACCGGAUAGGAGCUCCUGCUGCAUGGUGGGGGUUGGAAAGUUUCGGCGGUUGGGGAUGGACUCGCGGCUUAUCAGCUUGUUGGUGGGGUAGUGGCUUACCAAGGCUUUGACGGGUAGCCGGCCUGAGAGGGUGACCGGCGACAUUGGGACUGAGAUACGGCCCAGACUCCUACGGGAGGCAGCAGUGGGGAAUAUUGCACAAUGGGCGGAAGCCUGAUGCAGCAACGCCGCGUGCGGGAUGACGGCUUUCGGGUUGUAAACCGCUUUCGCCGGUGACGAAGCGUGAGUGACGGUAAUGGGUAAAGAAGCACCGGCUAACUACGUG
rnacentral:rRNA from 1 species